UUCCAACUACAAUUUUUCGAA
rnacentral:piRNA from 1 species